rnacentral:rRNA from 1 species
UACGUAGGGUGCGAGCGUUAAUCGGAAUUACUGGGCGUAAAGCGUGCGCAGGCGGUUCGUUAAGUCCGAUGUGAAAGCCCCGGGCUCAACCUGGGAACUGCAUUUGAAACUGGCGGGCUUGAGUGGGGUAGAGGGGGGUGGAAUUCCGCGUGUAGCAGUGAAAUGCGUAGAGAUGCGGAGGAACACCGAUGGCGAAGGCAGCCCGCUAAGCAACUACUGACGCUGAGGCACGAAAGCGUGGGGAUCAAACAGG